rnacentral:rRNA from 1 species
AGAGUUUGAUUAUGGCGUCAGAAUGAACGCUGGCGGCAUGGAUUAGGCAUGCAAGUCGAACGGGGCCCUUCGGGGCCCAGUGGCGGAAGGGUGAGUAACACGUGAGCAACCCGCCCCCAAGGCCGGAACAAGCGCUGGAAACGGCGUCUGAAACCGGAUGAGGACCCCCCUCGCAUGUGGGGGGCGUCCAAAUAUUCAUACCCCUGGGGAUGGGCUCGCGGCCCGUUAGCUUGUCGCGGGGCAACGGCCCACCGAGGCGACGACGGGUAGGUGGUCUGAGAGGAUGGUCACCCACACUGGGACUGAGACACUGCCCAGACUCCUGCGGGAGGCUGCAGUCGAGAAUCUUCCGCAAUGGGCGCAAAGCCUGACGGAGCGAUGCCGCGUGAGGGACGGAGGCCUUCGGGUCGUGAACCUCUGUCGCCCGGGACGAUGAUGACGGUACCGGGAAAGGAAGCCACGGCUAACCACGUGCCAGCCGCGGC